GUGUUGGGGGUGUGGAGGGAAUUUUGUAGUGCCUGGUAUCUUGCUACGACAGUUUAAUCUUCCUUUUUUUUUUUUAUUAUUGAAGCCUUGUUGUCUCACCUUCUGUAGCUAAAUUUAUAUUCCAAAUGAAUGAAGCGGAUAGCGUGCUAUCUUUUUUCUCAAGAAAAAAAAUAUUGAAUUUGAAUUUAUAUUUGAAUUUGGUAUUGUAAUGUAAAGUUUGGAUUUUGAAAUUUAAAUUCAACUUCUAUAUUUGAAUCUAAUUGUACUUUUAAUGUUAAAACCAAACUUUAAUUUUGAUUUAAAUUGGAAUUUGGAAUUCGAUCUAAAAGUUUAUUUUGAAUUAGUGUAUUAUAUUUAAGAAAAAAUGAAUGUGAUUCAAAACUAAGUUUCCUAUGUUGUUUUCAAAUUAAAUUCGCAGUUUGAAUAUAAUCUAAAUUUCAAUUAUUAUUGUAGACAUUUGAAAAGUUCAUAAUAUCAUUAGCUGGAUAACACUAGCUAUAAAUUUUAUGAAGCAAAAUACUCAGUAAAAACCAAAAUGCUCUCUAUACGGCCAAAGUUUGUAUAGUGUAUUUAAGCAUAACUACUAGAGAAAAAAAAAAAAAAAGAAAAAAAAGCUGAAUGUAAGUCCUCUCUUCUCUAUUGUUAAAAAGUAAAAAUUUUCAAUAAAGAAUUCUCUUUCAAUGUUUGAUAAAUUUGACAUUUGACAUAGGCAAAACUUAAGUGAGGAACUCUUAUCUCGUUAAAGAGCUCUGUAUUGUUACAUUUUAUUAUUAAUAUGAAUUUUAUUAACCUUUGCAUAACCUAUACUUGCAUUUAUAGUUGUGCAUGUGAAUUUACCACUUCAUUUAGUUUGCAUUCAUUGUGAACUUAUAUGUGAACCUACUUCAAUAAGGUGAACAUAAUUAAGUUCAUUUACGUAUGUAAACUCCUAUAGCACUAACUAUGUAACCUAUGGGUUUGAUACUUUUGUAACCUAUACUUUUGAAACCUAUAUAUAGAGGCUUCUCUAUUCACUUCAACAUAACAUAAAAAAGAAAACUACAAUAUCUAUAUUCUACUUGAGAGAGAGAAGGUCAAAGAAAGGUGUUUCUUUUGGUGGAGCUUUGGGCUCAUCUACUUGCAGAGUUGGUGAAGCCACACGACGAGGGUCGAGCUGUUAUAUCCUGAAGGGGACAAGUCGGUGCUCUGCUGCAUCGGUUCAAAGACUUUGCCAACCGCAGAGGGCUUGAAUCUCCUUAAAGAGAGCGAGAUAUCCGUGCCUCGGCUUGAUCGACUCGUUGAUAUUUUUUAAAUUAUUUUGUAGCUAACCUCUAUAUUUUGAAUAUUUACACUAACAACCGUCAUGUGUCUAAACAAUAUGUAUCUUAAAAAAAAAAACAAGUAAUAAUUUUGGUAAAAAAAAAUCUAAUUAAUCUGCUUAAUUAAUUUGGGAUUGAUUACUUAAAAAGAAAUGCUAAGUCUAUAAUCCCAAAAAAUUUGUAUGAUUACGACCCUCACUUCAAAGGUCACAAUCAAAAUUAUAUAAUUCUUUUUGGAUUUUAAUAGGAAGAAAAAAGAAGAUAGAUAUGACUAGUCAGAAAAACUUGAUCUUUGGAUUGGCAAGUUGCAAGAAAAGCUUUAUAAUCAUUUCUCACUAAUCAUAUCACUCUUUUUAUUUUUUAAUAUUAGAAACCAAAAAAAUUGUAUAAACUCUAGGAAUAGAAUUAUAACUCUUGAAUUGAACAUUGUAAUCCUAAAACCCUUUUUGAUUUGUAGGCUGUAUUUAUCUUCAAGUAACGAAUUCAAAAUUAAUAAAGCAGAUCGAAUUUUUCUGCCGACCUUAUCAGUUAUUUUUUGAGAUAUGUGCCGUUUAGACACUUGACCGUAGAAGGAGAGCUCCUUAACGAGAUCUCGUUGUGGAACUCCCCAUUUAAAUUUUAUUCAUUUCAAGUGAAUGUUGGAUUCAAUCACUUUUUUAAUUAUGCCCUCAAAUUAUAAAGGCCUUUUUGCAAAACAAUCCACUAGUUUUGCAUUUUUGUAAAAAUAUGCCCUUUUUCUCGUUUUGUAGAUUUGAACCAAAAUUUUUAAAAUCUGACUAAAAUGCCUCUGUGUCUUAUAUAUCCCAUCUCUCUUUCCUCCACCCCCUUUUCUGGGCCAUGUCUUCACUACCAGUAGCAAUCUCGAGCGUUUAUCCCACCUUCACCACCUCCACAUAGAUUCUACUGUAACGUCCGCGUCAUGAGCACCUCACGAGCGAAAGGAACACGAUGAACUUAACUUGCUCAUUGUCAUAGCCACUCGAUGCUUCGCCGGAGACGGAGACAAAGGUGGCAUUGGAGGAGAGCAAUGAUCACUGAUGAUUGAGAAUGCUUUUGAAGCAUGUUCAUGACGAGCGUGGCCUAUAAUGACAAGCUGGUGGGGGUAGUAAGAAAAAAAAAUUUGUCGGAUGACACAAUAUUGCACUAUUUGUUAAACAAUUAUACUUUUUGAAUAUAUGUUGCACUAUUUUAUAGUUAAAUAUACGUAUCAAAUAGUAUAACUUUCUUAUUAAAUAGUACAACAUAUAUUCGAGUAGUGUAAUUUUUUUAAAUAUUGCAAAAAUUCACAAUCUGCCAGAUUCUUCUCUCUCAUAACCACAACCAUUUCGACGUCGCGGCCAUGCUCUCUCUAACCUGCUAUAUGAGCAUCAUCGACCAACAAUCAUC
rnacentral:lncRNA from 1 species